GGGGGAAUAUUGCACAAUGGGCGCAAGCCUGAUGCAGCAACGCCGUGUGAGUGAAGAAGGCCUUCGGGUCGUAAAACUCUGUCCUAUGGGAAGAAAAAAAUGACGGUACCAUAGGAGGAAGCCCCGGCUAACUACGUGCCAGCAGCCGCGGUAAUACGUAGGGGCAAGCGUUAUCCGGAAUCACUGGGCGUAAAGGGUCCGUAGGCGGCCUUAUAAGUCAGUGGUGAAAUCUCCUAGCUCAACUAGGAAACUGCCAUUGAUACUGUAGGGCUUGAAUGUUUAGGAAGUAACUAGAAUAUGUAGUGUAGCGGUGAAAUGCUUAGAUAUUACAUGGAAUACCAAUUGCGAAGGUAGGUUACUACUAAAUGAUUGACGCUGAUGGACGAAAGCGUGGGUAGCGAACAGGAUUAGAUACCCUGGUAGUCCACGCCGUAAACGAUGGAUACUAGCUGUUCGGACUUCGGUUUGAGUGGCUAAGCGAAAGUGAUAAGUAUCCCACCUGGGGAGUACGCACGCAAGUGUG
rnacentral:rRNA from 1 species